rnacentral:tRNA from 1 species
AAAGAAAUAAUUUAAAAAAGCUUCUAACUUUAUGAAGAGCACUAGCAUGUUCGUAUUUCUU